AUUGAACGCUGGCGGCAGGCCUAACACAUGCAAGUCGAGCGGAUGAGAGGAGCUUGCUCCUGGAUUCAGCGGCGGACGGGUGAGUAAUGCCUAGGAAUCUGCCUGGUAGUGGGGGACAACGUUUCGAAAGGAACGCUAAUACCGCAUACGUCCUACGGGAGAAAGCAGGGGACCUUCGGGCCUUGCGCUAUCAGAUGAGCCUAGGUCGGAUUAGCUAGUUGGUGAGGUAAUGGCUCACCA
rnacentral:rRNA from 1 species